rnacentral:RNase_MRP_RNA from 1 species
GAACACGAUUUAGAAUUGCGAAGUCAAGUGGAUCUCCUCCCGUGCUGUCGUCUGCGGAUGAUGGCGCUGUGUUGGUGAUGGCUUGGGGAAAUUCCCCGGACCCAAGGGCAGAAAGUGCCAGCGUCGAUACGCAGAUCCCCUUGCGUGGAAGCCGCGAAGAUGGCGGGUGCUUGCAUCUGACCGGAGCAUCAUUGGCGGACGCGCGAGGACUGAUCGUCAUGCUAACAGUUAUGCAAUUGGCUCAACGGCCUCCGGCGGGACGUCGUGCCGCCGCUGUUUGGAGCUAACCCGACGGGGAUUACUCAAGUCGUGUU